rnacentral:rRNA from 1 species
GCACGCCGGACGACGUCCGCGAGAAGUCCACUGAACCUUAUCAUUUAGAGGAAGGAGAAGUCGUAACAAGGUUUCAGUAGGUGAACCUGUGGAAGGAUCAUUGUCGAUGCCCCCCGAAAUCGACGGAACGACCCGCGGACCGGUUUGAGAACGCCGCCGCCGUCGGGGCCGCGCGCCCGGACGGCACAAACAACAACCCACCCCCGGCGCCAGUCGCGCCAAGGAAACGAAAAGAGCGCCCGCGCGCCCCCGGGCACCCGGCCAUCGGGAUCCCGUCCGGGGAGCGCCGGGCCGUGCCAGCGAUAUGCCACGCAUGCACAAAACGACUCUCGGCAACGGAUAUCUCGGCUCUCGCAUCGAUGAAGAACGUAGCGAAAUGCGAUACUUGGUGUGAAUUGAUGAAUCCUGCAAACCAUCGAAUCUUUGAACGCAAGUUGUGCCCGAAGCCAUCUGGCCGAGGGCACGCCUGCCUGGGCGUCAGGUAACGUCGCCCUCGCCCCCACAGUGGGUCUCCCGGUUGGACAAAACACGAGCAUGUGAGGGCAGUCGCCACGAUCCACGGUGGGAGGAGUGGAACCCGCUCGAGACCCGGCCGUGCGCAAGCUGCCGUCGAGCGAUGCUGCAGGACCCAAGAGUUGCUCUCGACGCGACCCCAGGUCAGGCGGGGACACCCGCUGAGUUUAAGCAUAUCAAUAAGCGGAGGAA